rnacentral:rRNA from 1 species
GACGAACGCUGGCGGCGUGCUUAACACAUGCAAGUCGAACGGUGAAGCUCCAGCUUGCUGGAGUGGAUCAGUGGCGAACGGGUGAGUAACACGUGAGCAACCUGCCCCUGACUCUGGAAUAAGCGCUGGAAACGGCGUCUAAUACUGGAUACGAGAAGGGUCCGCAUGGGCACUUUCUGGAAAGUUUUUCGGUUGGGGAUGGGCUCGCGGCCUAUCAGCUUGUUGGUGAGGUAAUGGCUCACCAAGGCGACGACGGGUAGCCGGCCUGAGAGGGCGGCCGGCCACACUGGGACUGAGACACGGCCCAGACUCCUACGGGAGGCAGCAGUGGGGAAUAUUGCACAAUGGGCGAAAGCCUGAUGCAGCGACGCCGCGUGAGGGAUGACGGCCUUCGGGUUGUAAACCUCUUUCAGCAGGGAAGAAGCGAAAGUGACGGUACCUGCAGAAGAAGCACCGGCUAACUACGUG